rnacentral:rRNA from 1 species
AACGAACGCUGGCGGCAUGCCUAACACAUGCAAGUCGAACGAAGGCUUCGGCCUUAGUGGCGCACGGGUGCGUAACGCGUGGGAAUCUGCCCUUUGGUUCGGAAUAACAGCUGGAAACGUCUGCUAAUACCGGAUGAUGACGAAAGUCCAAAGAUUUAUCGCCAGAGGAUGAGCCCGCGUUGGAUUAGGUAGUUGGUGGGGUAAAGGCCUACCAAGCCGACGAUCCAUAGCUGGUCUGAGAGGAUGAUCAGCCACACUGGGAAUGAGACACGGCCCAGACUCCUACGGGAGGCAGCAGUGGGGAAUAUUGGACAAGGGGCGCAAGCCUGAUACAGCAAUGCCGCGUGAGUGAUGAAGGGGAUAGGGUUGUAAAGCUCUUUUACCCGGGAAGAGAAUGACUGUACCGGGAGAAGAAGCCCCGGCUAACUCCGUG